CGGAGAAGAAAAAUAAAAGAAAAGGUUGUCCACUGCCAGACUUUGUCGUGUGUCCUUCCUGCCGGCCAGGAGCGACAUCGACAUUUGGUGGCCCGUACGGGGACUGAUCACCCCCGAGACGUGACAGCGGACAACGCUCCAGUACAGAGCUGCGAGACAGGAAUCGGGACGAGAACCACUGUGGGUACCGGAGAGACUGACACGGGCGACAAAGCCCUCGACUGAAGAUCAGACCUGCCCUACCGGAGAUCCAUCACAGACCAACCAACAAGAUGAAUAGAAAUAGCGGUAGCCCAAAAUGGACAAGAAGAUCCUCAGGCAUAUGCAUGGCUCGCUCGCCUAGCCUACGACCGAGUCUAGGGGUGGUGAGCUUCCCACACUCCUCCUCUAAAAAAUUAUGACAUAGCUGGGUAGGAGAGUCAAUGACGGGUAAGAGCGUACUCCCCCGGUGCGACUCAACCUAAGCCAGGCCCUACCCCAUCCUGCACGUAAGCCGCUGGACUGUUAGAUGCUGCCCAGGUCUAAAUUUCUCUCCGAGGGGAUUUCUUUACGGAGAGAAAAUGAGUGCAAGCUUGUGUGCAUCCAGGUUCCGUCCAGUUUGUGCCUGGCCCUAGAAAAAGGACGAGGGCCUCAGGGCCUUGGCAGACCAUGGGACGGCCGACCAGGGUCUAAGCCAAGGACCUACGGUGGGCCUACGCAUAGGGCAUAAGCCUCUGCACCCAGUCCAGAAAGGGCUACGAUGCGCACAUUCAUAAAAAAUAAAAAAGGGGGAGAUGUUGGGAGCCGCAGCCCCGAGCCCGGUCGCCUCACUUGGCGGACGUGAGGCCUGUAGUAAAGAGUAAAGCCUGAGGUAGAUUACCCCUCCCAUCGAGCACGUUAGUUUCCUGCUUACCGCGUAAGCAACCCGCUCAACAAUAUAGUCUGCCUGGCAACUGAUGAUGUUAGCCAAUCAGCUUGCCUUGCUUACUUUAACAUGAUUGGACACUGUAUCCGUAUAUAUACUGGUGCCACCCCUGGGGGGGAAGAAGAAGCCCGGAAGUAGAAGCCCAGAAGGAGCCUCGGGGAGCGGACCAAAGGAGGCUUCGGCUGGGAGCGAUCCCAGGGCAGGCUGUACGGAGAAGAAAAAUAAAAGAAAAGGUUGUCCACUGCCAGACUUUGUCGUGUGUCCUUCCUGCCGGCCAGGAGCGACAUCGACAAGUAAUACCUGUAACUGUAAAUGUGUGUCUUCCUUUUCCCCUGGGUAAAAGAUUGAUAUGUUAAUCAAUGCUCUCUUCUGUAAAGAAUUGUAAAAUCUUACCCAAUUGAUAUGUUAACCAUUGUUGCCCUCUACAAAUAGAAAGGUUGUGGUGCUAAAGUAAAGUAAUUAUGUCAGGAAACUCAGAGAUAAAGUCUGCUGACUAUGCUAAUCAAGAUUGGGAAGUAUGUCAGAACCAAGCCACACAGGAGCUAGGUGACCUAAAAAUAAGCUGUGCAAAACAAGACAGUUAAUCAACUCUGACCCACUGGUCGCCCCUCAUGAUCUGACCAAUCACAAAUGGACAAAUCACCAACUGUUCUGCUCUAACUGCUAUGAUUGGCUUCUGUAACAAUGCUUGCUUACUUUGCGGUUUUCAUCCUUAAAAACACCAGCCUUGCCCCAACUCAGGGUUCUCCGUUUCCACCUGUUUGGAGGACCCCGUGUACACGGAAUAAUAAAAACCCCAUUGUUUUUACAUGA